UACGGAGGGUGCAAGCGUUAAUCGGAAUUACUGGGCGUAAAGCGUGCGCAGGCGGUUUGUUUAGUCUGCUGUGAAAUCCCCGAGCUCAACUUGGGAAUUGCAGUGGAUACUGGCAAGCUGGAGUACGGUAGAGGAAGGUGGAAUUCCCGGUGUAGCAGUGAAAUGCGUAGAGAUCGGGAGGAACACCAGUGGCGAAGGCGGCCGUCUGGACCAGUACUGACGCUCAUGCACGAAAGCGUGGGGAGCAAACAGG
rnacentral:rRNA from 1 species